rnacentral:rRNA from 1 species
AUACGGAGGGUGCAAGCGUUGUUCGGAAUCACUGGGCGUAAAGGGCGCGCAGGCGGUUUUACAAGUCAGAUGUGAAAGCCCACGGCUCAACCGUGGAAGUGCAUUUGAAACUGUAAGACUUGAGUAUCAGAGGGGAAGGUGGAAUUCCCGGUGUAGAGGUGAAAUUCAUAGAUAUCGGGAGGAAUACCGGUGGCGAAGGCGACUUUCUGGCUGAAUACUGACGCUGAGGCGCGAAAGCGUGGGGAGCAAACAGGAUUAGAAACCCUAGUAGUCC